GACGAACGCUGGCGGCAGGCCUAACACAUGCAAGUCGAACGCCCCGCAAGGGGAGUGGCAGACGGGUGAGUAACGCGUGGGAACGUACCCUUCGGUUCGGAAUAACCCGGGGAAACUCGGGCUAAUACCGGAUACGUCCGCAAGGAGAAAGAUUUAUCGCCGAAGGAUCGGCCCGCGUCCGAUUAGCUAGUUGGUGAGGU
rnacentral:rRNA from 1 species